rnacentral:rRNA from 1 species
UACGGGGGGGGCAAGCGUUGUUCGGAAUUACUGGGCGUAAAGGGCGCGUAGGCGGCCUGCUAAGUCGGAUGUGAAAUCCCUCGGCUCAACCGAGGAACUGCAUCCGAUACUGGCCGGGCUUAAAUCCGGGAGAGGGAUGUGGAAUUCCAGGUGUAGCGGUGAAAUGCGUAGAUAUCUGGAGGAACACCGGUGGCGAAGGCGGCAUCCUGGACCGGUAUUGACGCUGAGGCGCGAAAGCUAGGGGAGCAAACGGG